GGGCUGCCUCAGCUUUAGGGUGCCCAGCUGCCAUUUGCAAUGUCAUGUCAGCCUUUGGUAGGGGAGCAUCUCUGCCUGUAGUGCAUUAUAGACUGUAGUGGUUCUUCCUGCUGCAGGUAACCCCAGCAGGUUCAAAAGCAAUUAUUCACUCGUGUCCAACAAAAGAAGCCUCUUCUCAGAUGUUCCCCGGAGGUCUGCUGUUCUCUGGUGGUCCUGCAGCAGGUCAGCCAGGAGCAGAGAGGGAGCUGAGCAGCUACAUGUGGGUUCUCAGCACAGACGUGGAUGUGAAGACCAGACAUCCCCCUUGGAGUGGCCACCUGCUCUGCCCUCUCAGACUCUGGCACCAAUCACCAAAGCAGAGGUGGGAGCAGGUCCUUCAAGAUCCAAUAAGAAAUUCCAGAUCCUGUGCUGUCACUGCUGAGGCACUCCCCAUGUGCUCCUGCUCCCUUCCUGUGUAAAACCCAGGGAAAUUUCAGGAAGUUCUGAUGGAUAACUCCAGCUCUGGAAAUGAGACAAAACAACAAGAGGAGAGAUUUAAAUGACUGUUGUGAGCAUUAAAUGCAGAAGAGGUUCUGAUAUGACACUGUGCACAAGUUUCUAUUAAAACACAAAAUUUGCCUCUAUCCUCAGUACAAUUUGCUAGUAACAGUAAACCUGAAUUUCUCAACACUGUUCA